rnacentral:rRNA from 1 species
GCUCAGAUUGAACGCUGGCGGCAUGCUUUACACAUGCAAGUCGAACGGCAGCGGGGGCUUCGGCCUGCCGGCGAGUGGCGAACGGGUGAGUAACGCAUCGGAACGUGCCCAUGUCGUGGGGGAUAACGUAGCGAAAGGUACGCUAAUACCGCAUACGCCCUGAGGGAGAAAGCGGGGGAUUCUUCGGAACCUCGCGCGAUUGGAGCGGCCGAUGUCGGAUUAGCUAGUAGGUGAGGUAAAGGCUCACCUAGGCGACGAUCCGUAGCGGGUCUGAGAGGAUGAUCCGCCACACUGGGACUGAGACACGGCCCAGACUCCUACGGGAGGCAGCAGUGGGGAAUUUUGGACAAUGGGCGCAAGCCUGAUCCAGCCAUGCCGCGUGAGUGAAGAAGGCCUUCGGGUUGUAAAGCUCUUUCGGCCGGGAAGAAAUCGUGUUCUCUAACAUAGGACAUGGAUG